UAGCUAGUUGGUGAGGUAACGGCCCACCAAGGCAACGAUCGGUAGCCGGACUGAGAGGUUGAACGGCCACAUUGGGACUGAGACACGGCCCAGACUCCUACGGGAGGCAGCAGUGGGGAAUAUUGCACAAUGGGGGAAACCCUGAUGCAGCGACGCCGCGUGGAGGAAGAAGGUCUUCGGAUUGUAAACUCCUGUUGUUGAGGAAGAUAAUGACGGUACUCAACAAGGAAGUGACGGCUAACUACGUGCCAGCAGCCGCGGUAAAACGUAGGUCACAAGCGUUGUCCGGAAUUACUGGGUGUAAAGGGAGCGCAGGCGGGCGAUCAAGUUGGAAGUGAAAUCCAUGGGCUCAACCCAUGAACUGCUUUCAAAACUGAUUGUCUUGAGUAGUGCAGAGGUAGGCGGAAUUCCCGGUGUAGCGGUGGAAUGCGUAGAUAUCGGGAGGAACACCAGUGGCGAAGGCGGCCUACUGGGCACCAACUGACGCUGAGGCUCGAAAGUGUGGGUAGCAAACAGGAUUAGAUACCCUGGUAGUCCACACCGUAAACGAUGAUUACUAGGUGUUGGAGGAUUGACCCCUUCAGUGCCGCAGUUAACACAAUAAGUAAUCCACCUGGGGAGUACGACCGCAAGGUUGAAACUCAAAGGAAUUGACGGGGGCCCGCACAAGCAGUGGAGUAUGUGGUUUAAUUCGACGCAACGCGAAGAACCUUACCAAGUCUUGACAUCCUGCGACGGACAUAGAAAUAUGUUUUUCCUUCGGGACGCAGAGACAGGUGGUGCAUGGUUGUCGUCAGCUCGUGUCGUGAGAUGUUGGGUUAAGUCCCGCAACGAGCGCAACCCUUAUGGUCAGUUACUACGCAAGAGGACUCUGGCCAGACUGCCGUUGACAAAACGGAGGAAGGUGGGGAUGACGUCAAAUCAUCAUGCCCUUUAUGACUUGGGCUACACACGUACUACAAUGGCGUUAAACAAAGAGAAGCAAGACCGCGAGGUGGAGCAAAACUCAGAAACAACGUCCCAGUUCGGACUGCAGGCUGCAACUCGCCUGCACGAAGUCGGAAUUGCUAGUAAUCGCAGAUCAGCAUGCUGCGGUGAAUACGUUCCCGGGCCUUGUACACACCGCCCGUCACACCAUGAGAGCCGGGGGGACCCGAAGUCGGUCGUCUAACCGCAAGGAGGACGCCGCCGAAGGUAAAACUGGUGAUUGGGGUGAAGUCGUAACAAGGUAACCGUACUAGUACGGAUUCUC
rnacentral:rRNA from 1 species